GAAGGAUAUAAAACGGGAUGACAUCACUACAAAGAUACAGCCUCUGCUCUCUGGUUCCCUGCUAUGCCAUGCUGCUCUUGCCACUGCCUCCUACUGGAAAUAAGUGUACAUGUUCUGCAUGAUUUCUACUUCUCUCAGAUUCUCGAGCUAAAAUGGAUAUGAUGCCUUUGGAGGUUCAGCCUGGAAUGCAGAUUCAGCAACAUGGAAGCUGGAAGAAGAGUAAAUGGAGCUGUCAGUGUAACAACUAACCCUGGAGCUGUAAAACGAGCUGUAAAAUGGAUUUUAUUCCAGAAUAUUACAAGUUCUGUCAUUAUGGAGAAGAUUAACGACACAGCCUGAUGGAGGUCUACUGCUCUUAGAGAUGCUAGAAUGUCUGAGACAAGAAACGGCUUUGUAAUUAUAACUGUCUUAGUGGAAAUAAAAGGGCAAAAAGGGAGCA
rnacentral:lncRNA from 1 species